rnacentral:lncRNA from 1 species
GGUAAAUGUGAACCGGUGGUGGUGGUGGUGGUGAUGAGUACUUGUAGGGUUUCUUUGGUGGUGGUGGAGGAGAUGAGUAAUGGUAUGGCGGCGGCGGUGGUGAUGAGUAAUGGUAAGGCUUCUUUGGUGGUGGAGGUGGAGAAUGGUAGUAGUAAGGCUUCUUAGGUGGUGGAGGAGGAGAAUGGUAGUAAUAUGGUGGUGGUGGUGAAGACACCGGCGGAGGUGGAGAAUGGUAGUAGUAGGGUGGUGGAGGUGAAGACACCGGUGGUGGUGGAGAAUGAUAGUAGUAAGGCUUCUUAGGGGGUGGUGGUGGAGAGUGAUAGUAGUAAGGUGCCUUCUUAGGCGGCGGAG